ACACGACUACAUUAGAUACCCGGGUAGUCCUAGCCGUAAACGAUACUCGCUAGGUGUCGGCCACGGUGCGACCGUUGUCGGUGCCGUAGGGAAGCCGUGAAGCGAGCCACCUGGGAAGUACGGCCGCAAAGGCUGAAACUUAAAGGAAUUGGCGGGGGAGCACAGCAACGGGUGGAGCUUGCGGUUUAAUUGGAUUCAACGCCGGAAAUCUUACCGGGACCGACAGCAACAUGAAGGCCAAGCUGAAGACUUUGCCGGAUUAGCUG
rnacentral:rRNA from 1 species